UCCGGUAUAGUGUAACGGUCAACAUAUCGCGUUUUCAUAGCUAUCUAGUUGAGAUCCGCGGGGCUCGGGGUUCGAUUCCCCGUACCGGAG
rfam:Pseudomassariella vexata strain CBS 129021 BCR38scaffold_4, whole genome shotgun sequence.